UACAGAGGUCCCAAGCGUUGUUCGGAUUCACUGGGCGUAAAGGGUGCGUAGGUGGCGAGGCGAGUUUGAUGUGAAAUCUCCGAGCUUAACUCGGAAACGGCAUUAAAUACUGCCCUGCUGGAGGGCCGGAGGGGAGACUGGAAUUCUCGGUGUAGCGGUGAAAUGCGUAGAUAUCGAGAGGAACACCGGUGGCGAAAGCGAGUCUCUGGACGGUACCUGACGCUGAGGCACGAAAGCUAGGGGAG
rnacentral:rRNA from 1 species